rnacentral:lncRNA from 1 species
CCACAGGCAUCUCUGCUACCACAAACAUCCGAUGUCUCAAACUAGCCUGCCAACUAUGCUCUGUUGCCGAGGCAACAGGAGGCAAGCAGGCAUGAAGAAAUCUUGUUGCCUGAGCAACAGAAUCUUAAAAAGAGGGGAGCAGAGAGAGGGAGAGGAAAAAGAAUGGGUCUUAUGCUGUGUCUAUGGCAAAGGCUAUAGAUUUAAGCCAGCAGGAAGUCUACAUGGUGAAGUUGCUCUAAUGGCUGAAGGGACCGCAUGCUGAUACACUUCUAGGUGGGAAUGGGCGUCCAUUUUCCUCGUUGCCAUUUGCACAUAUGAGAAGCUGCAAUGCUCAUUCAUCUCAGCGACGACCAUUCAGCAAUGGUAGGAUGCCUGUCUCUCCCAGCAGCCACUGGCUAGCGGGAGAUGGGUGAAUAUUUCUGCUUUAACUGUUGAACCCUUUGUGAUGUGCUCAGAAGACGUCUCCAACAAGCACAUAUGCCCACCAAGGAAUUUAGGUUAAAAGAAAAAGUGCAGCGUUUAGGGAUGGAAUUUGACUGCUAUCACCAUUUUUAUAUUGUAACUACUUACAACUUUUAAAGGACUAGGAGAGAAAGUUAAUUAGAUUUGGGGACAACUGCCCCUCCUUGGAAUGGAUGGACCUAUUCCGAGUAUUAAUACAGCAGCAAGGAGAACACAAUGUAAAUCAGACAUAAAAUUAUCACUGGCAUGGAAAUCAGCACUAGUAUAGAAGACACUUCCUGUCACAGUACUGGUAUAGGCACAAUUACGUUUAGCUCAGCUUUGCUCAUUACAUUUUUAUGUGUGCAGCAGAUCAUCAUACAUUUUUAGUUGAAUAGCAACUCUAACAGAAACAGGCUGGCAUUGCCCAAAUUAACAGUGACAAUGGGAAAGAAUGAAGAGAGUUUAUUUUAUGAAAAUUAGUACAGUUUUUAAAAUUUCUCACAAUGCUAGUUUUAUAGAGAGAGGGGAAAAAAGAAUAUAAAACAUAACACCAGCUGUCUCUCAUAGAUGCUUUACUUUAGACCCACAGAAAUGCAUUUGAGACACAGUCUCUGUACAGUUCAGGCUGGCCUUGAACUCACUACGUAGUCCAGGCUGACAUCAAGCUCUCAGCAAUCCUGCUCUCUCAUCCUUCUGAGUACUGGGACACAGGCAUGUAC